rnacentral:lncRNA from 1 species
CUUAAAAAUUGGCAUGAGCAUACAAUAAGAAAAACACAAAUCCAGGCAAGAAAAACCUGGAUUCUCCUGGGACUUAUUUUUAUAUUAAGUAAGCAAGAAAAAGUACUUGCAAUCCCUGCAGCUGUGCUAAGAUUCUGAGCAUUUGUUUUGAGAUCAUUACUAUGAACUGAGGAAGACUAAACCAGAAAAGGGUAGUUUGAUGUAGCCCAUUAAAUAUGGUAUUGUCUUUGCUAAUAAUAAUAGGCUAAAAGCACUUUACUGACUCUGCAGAUCCUCAGGACUGUGGCUUGUCAAGCUUGCUUAGCAUGGGCUUGUCAUAGGCUUGCCCAGAGCUUGCUUAUUUUAUCUAUAUUGCCUAAUGUCAAGGAGACUACUACCAAAUAUUUUUAGUCUUGCUUAGCUUUGUAUAAUUGUAAGACACAAUGCCUAUUGUUAUAAUAAUUAUGAGAUAUUUCUGUAAGUAAUAGAUGUUGAUAAUGUGCAGUUAUAUAAAGAAUGAACUGCUGAUGACCCUGGAAGAAGGAUGUGGUACAGAGAAGUACUAAUAUGGCAUGCUAGCAAUGGCCUUGGAAGUGCAAACACAGGAUAACAUCAGAAGCAAAGGGGAUACAACCAAAGCACCAGAGGUCAUUAAGUGAAUACAUUCUUGCCAGAUAGGUGAAAACUGAUAAGAAAGAAAAUGAAGAAGUUUCUGCCGUAUGUUAUGGACACCAUAUAGAGCAAAUUUGGAUAUAAAGUGGAGUUGGAGACCAGUGAAGAAAAAGAAAGGUGUGAAAUGUGUUAGAGAAUUUAUAUAAAAUAUCCAGAUAUGCGUACCAGUGUGAAGAGGAAGCAACUAUCAAUGUCACAUUCCUUUCAGUAAAAAGAAGAAAAAAGUCCCUCCAUUCCAAAAUCGUACUUUUCCCAGUGAGAGAUUGGGACACUAAUAACUUUCCGUAACCUCUUCACCCAGAAUAAAGCCAUCAACCUUAUGACUCAGAAAGGGCAGUUCAGGAUCCUCAGAAACCUACAAGCAAUUCUCCGAAGAUCUGGAAUUCCCUACUGGUGUCAAGCUUUCAUCUUGCCUAAAGCCUCAUGUCAUAACUACUCCUAACCAGGCUACACAAGCAAACAUUUUCUAUAAGGACUGCAGUUACACUUCCUGCAGUCUCACAUGUAUCUGAAAUGGACUCCCUGGACAUAGCAGUAUAUAAAGUCACAUAAGACGAGCUGCUGUAAAGAUGACUUGGGUGAAAUAAAAGAAUAUACAAAAGGAAAAUUUUGGAGUAU